UACGUAGGGUGCAAGCGUUAAUCGGAUUUACUGGGCGUAAAGCGUGCGCAGGCGGUUUUGUAAGCCAGAUGUGAAAUCCCCGGGCUUAACCUGGGAAUGGCAUUUGGGACUGCAAGGCUCGAGUGCGGCAGAGGAGACUGGAAUUCCUGGUGUAGCAGUGAAAUGCGUAGAUAUCAGGAGGAACACCGAUGGCGAAGGCAGGUCUCUGGGCUAACACUGACGCUCAUGCACGAAAGCGUGGGGAG
rnacentral:rRNA from 1 species